rnacentral:lncRNA from 1 species
CGCGCCUACAAAGCCUGGAACGCCUACAGCGCGCCUAAAGGCCGCAGCCGCUCACCGCUGCCCGCACCUCACCGCCGCAGCGCGCUCAGCGACCUCAACGAUGGCCGGCGCUCCGCCUCUUCCGCGGCUUUUAUAGCGGCGCCGGCCGAAUCUUCUGGAAUGACGCCGCGCUACGUCACGGCGCUGGAACGGUCUGGAACCCGUGCGCGUGACGUCACCGCGGGGAGCGGAGCGCCAGGCGGCGCCUCAGGGGGCGGGAAGGUGACAAGGGGCGGGCCGAGUGGAGCUGCGUGUUGGGCGGGCCUAUGGUGGGGGGGGGCUGAAGACUCAAGCUGAUUAAUUUGUUAUGAGGUGAUGCGUCGGUUCUGUGAGGAGACGCUGUGGUGUGUGCGCUGUGGGUGUAACAGGGGCUCUGAGCAGCCCGUUUGCUGCUAGAAGCAGUAGUUAGUGAGUGUUGUCCCAGAAGUGCAGCAUGGAUGAGUCUCUUUGUUUUGUGUUCUCUCUCUUAAUUGGAGUGAGCUACUGGAUUACCUUUACUUUAUCUUUGCUUUCAAAUAUUUGUUUUCUUUCAUUUUGCUUCCGUUUGGUAUUUUAACCUCAUUAUUUAUUGAGAGAAUUAGCAAAGUAGGAGGAGUUGGUGUUUUGAGGCAGAGCGAACACAGAGUGUAUUACCUGUGCUGCUUUCAUAGAAUCAUAGAAUGGCCUGGGUUGAAAAGGACCACAAUGAUCAUGUAGUUUCAACCCCCUGCUAUGUGCAGGGUUGCUGACCACCAGACCAGGCUGCCCUGAGCCAAACCAGCCUGGCCUUAAAUGCUUAUCUUGAUAAUUGAAGAUAGUGUUAUGCCUCUGAAGCAAAGCAAAUGCAUCCUCUUUUCCAGUACUCUGCUAUGGAAUGGAGUGGGAAUCCUUAUCUCUAUACUCACCAUGCUGCGUGUCAUAAAUCAUGCCUUCUGAACUGUGAAACUGUUACUGAAAAGAGCGUCCUGUCUCCUGGUGAUGCAGAAGAAUGGCUGAUGGACAGCCUGUCUGCAGAGAUUUGUUGGCUGAUUCUGAAGACCAGGAACAAACAGGUAAGAUGUGAAAGGGGAUCUUUGGAAAUUGAAUUCUUUUGUAGAAUUUUUAGUUGGAAUCUUCAUAUCUAUGCUAGUGAACACACUGACAGUUUUUCAGAGCUGGGAUAA